UCAUCUAUAAUAUAAAAAAAAAUUCUUACUAGUAGCUGUGAUGUUAUUGCUAACUGUAUAUCGUGUUUUGUGGAGUUGAGACAUGGGAAUACCCAUGCUGCUUAUAUGUGCAACCGAGACGUGCCAAUACCCAUGCUGACUCACUGGCUGAGUUUCACUUUCAAAGGGAUGUGCAAGAGUGCAAAGCUGUGAGGACAGUCAAGAUGUUUUACAGACUGUGGCGUGUGGAUUUAAGAGCGGAGGAGCUCGAGUGCUGAAAGGCUGAAGCGUUUACGAGCCGCCGCCGCCACAUCGUGAAGGACAAGUUAAUGGGCAGCUAAGAGGAGGAAUCUCAACCCUGCUGAUGACAAUGCCCUCGGAAAAAAGAGACAACGGGAGAAAAAACUUUUGACUCAACAUCACAAGAACCUCUGACCUCCAGAUCCAACAAAACCUCGAAACAACUCAGCCUACCCUCCAAUCAGAUCUUCUACUUUUCUCUCGCUCACACACCAGCAUGAACAAAUCACCCCAGCAUAAGGCUCCCACUCAUAUAAAAGCCAUUUCAUCUCUCCAAUGCAGAUAGCACAUAAAGAGAGAAGGCGAUGGCGGAGUAGGGGGGAUUGAGGGGGGAUCUGUCUGCAUCGCAGGACUGUAAGCACAUAGAAUAACUGUCGCACAGCCCAGCCAAAAGCCUUUAGCAUUCUGACAGAGCAGAUGUUAAGAGUAAUGACAGUGGAGAUUACCCAAUAAUUGUAGCAGCAUAAAUCAUUUGAGAGAGGGUGAGAAAGAAGAAGAGAAGGGGAAAAGGGGAGGGAUGGAACAAAGGAGGAUAAACCCCAGCUAAAGCGAGGAACGCCGUAUUGUUCGUGUGAAAAUGUAAAAUAGGGCAGUUUAUGUGCUGCGUUAGUUCCUUUUCCUAAAUGUUUUUCAGCAGAUAGUUCAUCUGUAGCUGCGUUAAAAGAGGGCAGACGCUUUCAGAAACGAGUGAACGCCAUGUUUUGCAGUGAAGGUUUUUGGUGGUGGUGCUCAUAGUUGGGGGGUAAUGGCAAUUAUGACAAUGUGGCUGCUGGUGUUACUGUCUAUGUUCUGGAGUUAAUCACUGUGAUCCAAGCUGCUGCUCGAGGCCAAAGAUGGAAGAUAGAGGUUCCCCUCCAUCUAAGAGUGUGAUGAUAUAUUUCUCUCUAACAUCCUGUAACAAUAUUGUCUGACUCAGACUUCAGCGAAGCUUGUACCGCGAGCCCUAACACCCACUACAACGAGCUCCUGUGUAUAUGUGUGUGCGUACACACUUUUAAGUGUGUUCCUCUCACUCUG